UUACGGUCAACUUGCGCUGAAAAUACUGGGUCUCGUUCGAUCAAGGAAGUUAAGCAAUGUCGAGCUUGGUCAGUACUUAGAUGGGGGUUCGGAUAUGAACAACGGGUACUGUAA